rnacentral:rRNA from 1 species
ACGGGUGCGUAACGCGUGGGAAUCUGCCCUUGGGUUCGGAAUAACAGUUAGAAAUGACUGCUAAUACCGGAUGAUGUCUUCGGACCAAAGAUUUAUCGCCCAAGGAUGAGCCCGCGUAAGAUUAGCUAGUUGGUGGGGUAAUGGCCCACCAAGGCGACGAUCUUUAGCUGGUCUGAGAGGAUGAUCAGCCACACUGGGACUGAGACACGGCCCAGACUCCUACGGGAGGCAGCAGUGGGGAAUAUUGGACAAUGGGCGAAAGCCUGAUCCAGCAAUGCUGCGUGAGUGAUGAAGGCCUUAGGGUUGUAAAGCUCUUUUACCAGGGAUGAUAAUGACAGUACCUGGAGAAUAAGCUCCGGCUAACUCCGUGCCAGCAGCCGCGGUAAUACGGAGGGAGCUAGCGUUGUUCGGAAUUACUGGGCGUAAAGCUUACGUAGGCGGUUACUCAAGUCAGAGGUGAAAGCCCGGGGCUCAACCCCGGAACUGCCUUUGAAACUAGGUAGCUAGAGUCUUGGAGAGGUUAGUGGAAUUCCGAGUGUAGAGGUGAAAUUCGUAGA